rnacentral:tRNA from 1 species
GCCUGGGUGGCUCAGUCGGCUAAGCGUCUGACUUCGGCUCAGGUCACGAUCUCACAGUUUGUGAGUUCGAGCCCCGCCUCAGGCU